rnacentral:rRNA from 1 species
UACGUAGGGUGCAAGCGUUGUCCGGAAUUAUUGGGCGUAAAGAGCUCGUAGGCGGUCCGUCACGUCGGCUGUGAAAACCCGGGGCUCAACCCCGGGCCUGCAGUCGAUACGGGCGGACUAGAGUUCGGCAGGGGAGACUGGAAUUCCUGGUGUCGCGGUGAAAUGCGCAGAUAUCAGGAGGAACACCGGUGGCGAAGGCGGGUCUCUGGGCCGAUACUGACGCUGAGGAGCGAAAGCGUGGGGAGCGAACAGG